rnacentral:rRNA from 1 species
ACCUGACUGCUAUCGGAUUGAUACUAAGCCAUGCGAGUUUUUGUAGCAAUACAAGGCAGACGGCUCAGUAACACGUAGUCAAUCUAACCUAUGGACGAGGAUAACCUCGGGAAACUGAGAAUAAUACUCGAUAGAUCAUUAUGCCUGGAACGGUUUAUGGUUCAAAUGAAUUUCGCCAUAGGAUGGGACUGCGGUCUAUCAGCUUGUUGGUGAGGUAAUGGCCCACCAAGGCUAUUACAGAUACGGGCUCUGAGAGGAGAAGCCCGGAGAUGGGUACUGAGACACGGACCCAGGCCCUAUGGAGCGCAGCAGGCGAGAAAACUUUGCAAUGUGCGAAAGCACGACAAGGUCAAUCCGAGUGUUUCCUGCUAAAGGAAUCUUUUGUUAGUUGUAAAACCACUAUCGAAUAAGGGGUGGGCAAGUUCUGGUGUCAGCCGCCGCGGUAAAACCAGCACCUCAAGUGGUCAGGAGGAUUAUUGGGCCUAAAGCAUCCGUAGCCUGUUCUGUAAGUUUCCGGUUAAAUCCAUUAGCUCAACUAAUGGGCUGCCGAAAAUACUGCAGAACUAGGGAGUGGGAGAGGUAGACGGUACUCGGUAGGAAGGGGUAAAAUCCUUUGAUCUAUUGAUGACCACCUGUGGCGAAGGCGGUCUACCAGAACACGUUCGACGGUGAGGGAUGAAAGCUGGGGGAGCAAACCGGAUUAGAUACCCGGGUAGUCCCAGCUGUAAACGAUGCAGACUCGGUGAUGCGCUGGCUUGUGGCCAGUGCAGUGCCGCAGGGAAGCCGUUAAGUUUGCCGCCUGGGAAGUACGUACGCAAGUAUGAAACUUAA